rnacentral:rRNA from 1 species
GAGUUUGAUCCUGGCUCAGAGCGAACGCUGGCGGCAGGCCUAACACAUGCAAGUCGAGCGCCGUAGCAAUACGGAGCGGCAGACGGGAGAGUAACACGUGGGAACGUACCCUUCAGUUCGGAACAACCCAGGGAAACUUGGGCUAAUACCGAAUACGUCCGUAAGGAGAAAGAUUUAUCGCUGAAGGAUCGGCCCGCGUCUGAUUAGCUUGUUGGUGAGGUAACGGCUCACCAAGGCUACGAUCAGUAGCUGGUCUGAGAGGAUGAUCAGCCUCACUGGGACUGAGACACGGCCCAGACUCCUACGGGAGGCAGCAGUGGGGAAUAUUGGACAAUGGGCGCAAGCCUGAUCCAGCCAUGCCGCGUGGAUGAUGAAGGCCCUAGGGUUGUAAAGUCCUUUUAACGGGAAGAUAAUGACGGUACCCGUAGAAUAAGCCCCGGCUAACUUCGUGCCAGCAGCCGCCGCCGUAAC